GAUGAACGCUGGCGGCGUGCCUAAUACAUGCAAGUCGAGCGAAUGGAUUAAGAGCUUGCUCUUAUGAAGUUAGCGGCGGACGGGUGAGUAACACGUGGGUAACCUGCCCAUAAGACUGGGAUAACUCCGGGAAACCGGGGCUAAUACCGGAUAACAUUUUGAACCGCAUGGUUCGAAAUUGAAAGGCGGCUUCGGCUGUCACUUAUGGAUGGACCCGCGUCGCAUUAGCUAGUUGGUGAGGUAACGGCUCACAAAGGAAACGAUGGGUAGCCGACCUGGGAGGGUGAUCGGCCACACUGGGACUGAGACACGGCCCAGACUCCUACGGGAGGCAGCAGUAGGGAAUCUUCCGCAAUGGACGAAAGUCUGACGGAGCAACGCCGCGUGAGUGAUGAAGGCUUUCGGGUCGUAAAACUCUGUUGUUAGGGAAGAACAAGUGCUAGUUGAAUAAGCUGGCACCUUGACGGUACCUAACCAGAAAGCCACGGCUAACUACGUGCCAGCCGCCGCCGUAA
rnacentral:rRNA from 1 species